UACAGAGGGGGCAAGCGUUAUUCGGAAUUAUUGGGCGUAAAGGGCGCGUAGGCGGCUUUUCAAGUGACGGGUGAAAUCCCUCGGCUUAACCGAGGAACUGCCUGUCAGACUGGAAGGCUUGAGACCGGGAGAGGUGAGUGGAAUUCCCAGUGUAGCGGUGAAAUGCGUAGAUAUUGGGAGGAACACCAGUGGCGAAGGCGGCUCACUGGACCGGAACUGACGCUGAGGCGCGAAAGCGUGGGGAACAAACAGG
rnacentral:rRNA from 1 species